rnacentral:lncRNA from 1 species
AGGCCGGAGCCCAGGGUCUGUCUGGCAGGCAGACAGGUGCCAGCAGCUCGCAGCCUGGCGUUCCCGCUCUGGGGGCCGUCCGGGAACAGAGGCGCGCGAAGUGCGCGUGCGCGGCGGCGGAGGCGGUGGCGGCGCGAGGCAGAGCCAGAGCCCGGGGUCGGUCAAUCAGGUGCGGGCGGCUGGAGCAUGGCUUUGUGAGGCCUCUGAGGGGACCCGGCGGUGGCGGCCACGGCGGGACGGGCCGCCCACCAGUUGAACUCCGACAGCUGAGGCGGCUGAGGAGAUUAGACUCCAGAGAUAAUGAUAUUAGGAAAUCCAAACUGAAAUGGACCCCAGAGCAAUUGAAGAAAGAAAGAGUCAAGACAAAAAAAAGUUGCUGAUUCCAGUCUAGAGGAAACAGUAAGGAAGAGAAAAGAGAAAUUCUCAUUAUAGCCAUGGCAAAGGAAGGGACAUUUUUAUGGACUACAUCUCUGCCUGGAUGGCUGUCUCUAACUGGAUUUUGCCAAUAUAUGCUGAGGGGAGAUAUGAAAUUAUCCAGGAAUGGCAAUUUGACCACAAAAUACAUGAACAGAUGGUUCUUGCCUUUGAAUGGGAAAAGAUGCUGCCUAGUCCAUCUUGUAUUGGAAAAUGUUGUGACUCAGUGCAAAUUUUACACUUUUGGAUGCAUUUGGAUUUCUUGGAUGUUGUAAGCACUUCUCCUUCCUGCCACCACGUGAAGAAGGACAUGUUUGCUUCCUCUUCCACCAUGAUUGUAAGUUUCCUGAGGCCACCAAGUCCUGCAGAACUGAGAUUUUUACACCUAUCUGUGAUGCUAUCUUGUGACCAUGAGGAGUGCUAAGCUGAAUCACAAAUCCACCAUGCUGAGGACAGCACAACAAAGACUUGGGGACUUAAUGGUUUCAACCAGUCACUGGGUUAACAAACCCUGGAACAAUCCCACCUCAAAACUUCAGUUACCUGUCCUGCUGACGUCAGACCCAGCACCAGGUGCAGAAGCAACCAUCAUACAAAAAUCAAGCUUCCUUAAUUAUAGAUGGAGUCUCCCUGUGUUGGCCAGGCUGGUCUUGAGCUCCUGGGCUCAAGCAAGCCUUCCACUUCAGCCUCCAGCAAUCCUCCCACCUUGGCCUCCCACAGUGCUGGGAUUACAGGUGUGAGUCACUGAACCUAGACUUGACUUUAGCUUCUUGAAGAGGAAAUUUUGAUCUUUGCUUUUAAACCUUUCUCAUUUCAAAUACAAAUAUUUAAAACUGUACAUUUUCCACUAAACACAGCUUUUGAUUGGGUCUCACAUAAUUUGGUAUAAUGUAUUUUAAUUUUUAUUCAGUUUUAAAUAUGUGCUAAUUUCCCUUUGGAUUUCUUUUUUGAUCCAUAGUA